rnacentral:rRNA from 1 species
GAUGAACGCUGGCGGCGUGCCUAAUACAUGCAAGUCGAGCGAACAGACGAGGAGCUUGCUCCUCUGACGUUAGCGGCGGACGGGUGAGUAACACGUGGAUCACCUACCUAUAUGACUGGGAUAACUUCGGGAAACCGGCGCUAAUCCCGUAUAAUAUAUUGAACCGCAUGGUUCAAUAGUGAAAGACGGUUUUGCUGUCACUUAUAGAUGGAUCCGCGCCGCAUUAGCUAGUUGGUACGGUAACGGCUUACCAAGGCAACGAUGCGUAGCCGACCUGAGAGGGUGAUAGGCGACACGGGAACGGGGACACGGUCCAGACGCCUACGGGAGGCAGCAGUAGGGAAUCUUCCGCAAUGGGCGAAAGCCUGACGGAGCAACGCCGCGUGAGUGAUGAAGGUCUGCGGAUCGUAAAACUCUGUUAUUAGGGAAGAACAAAUGUGGAAGUAACUAUGCACGGCUUGACGGUACCGAAUCAGAAAGCCACGGCUAACUACGUG